GACAGGAAGGGAGGCCUUACAUGAAGGAAAGAGUCUUGUUUGGUAGCCAAGGAUGACUUGCCUGCCUCCAGUUUCAUGAGCUUUUACCUAUAAUUAAUUAAUCUGCAGCUUCUUCACAUUAAUAUUGUGCCAAAUUCCUGUUAGGCUGCCAGGCAGUCACCUUGGCUAAUCUCGCAGGCUCUUCUCUUUCAUGCUAGGCCUCUUCUUCCUUC
rnacentral:pre_miRNA from 1 species